CUAAAGUCUAUCAUUUUUCUGCUCUUCAUUCUAUCACACUGCUCCGGUUCACUCCGUAGUCUCCAGUUCAUUAUAUUUCUAGUCUUCAUUCUAUCACACUGUGUCGGUUCAAUCCCCUAGUCUACCGCCCAAUUUCUUUAUUUCCUUCAUUCUAUCACACUGCUCUAGUUCCCUCCCUCGUCUCCAGUCCAUUCUUUUUCUG